rnacentral:rRNA from 1 species
UACGAAGGUCCCAAGCGUUGUUCGGAAUUACUGGGCGUAAAGCGUGUGUAGGCGGUUAGGUAAGUCAGAUGUGAAAUCCCGGGGCUCAACCUCGGAACUGCAUCCGAUACUGCCUGACUAGAGGACUGGAGGGGAGUCUGGAAUUCUCGGUGUAGCAGUGAAAUGCGUAGAUAUCGAGAGGAACACUAGUGGCGAAGGCGAGACUCUGGACAGAUCCUGACGCUGAGACACGAAGGCUAGGGUAGCGAACGGG